rnacentral:rRNA from 1 species
UACGGGGGGAGCAAGCGUUGUUCGGAUUUACUGGGCGUAAAGGGCGCGUAGGCGGCCAGCACAAGUCAGUUGUGAAAUCUCCGAGCUUAACUCGGAAAGGUCAACUGAUACUGUGCGGCUAGAGUGCAGAAGGGGCAACUGGAAUUCUUGGUGUAGCGGUGAAAUGCGUAGAUAUCAAGAGGAACACCUGCGGCGAAGGCGGGUUGCUGGGCCGACACUGACGCUGAGGCGCGAAAGCCAGGGGAGCGAACGGG